ACUUCUAAAGGAAAUUAGCAAUCCACUGGUCUUAGGCACCAAAAAUCUUGGUGCAACUCCAAGUAGAAGUA
rnacentral:tRNA from 1 species